AAGAAUAUACUCUCAGGGAUCAUUUCUAUAGUUUAUUACUAGAGAAGUUUCUUUGAUGAUGUAGAGCCUGAAACCAUCAGGUCAGGAGGAGCCAGAACAUUCUUCCCUGAGCAUGAAGCCCAUUCUAGGUGUUGCUUUUACAAUUACCUUUUACUAUUAAUGAUUAUUCUUUCUUCCCUUGGAAGAGGGGGAGGAAGAAGAUGCAGGUUGAAUGGU